GGUAAAAUGGCUGAGUAAAUAUUAGACUGUAAAUCUGAAGACGGAGGUUAAGGUCUCUUUUUACCA
rnacentral:tRNA from 1 species